rnacentral:pre_miRNA from 2 species
UUGUUUGCUAUUGCAACAUCUUCAAGAUUCAGAAAUCAGAUUCUUUUAUGGGUUUUCUUUUGAGCCUAUAUUAUUUGGUUUGAGAAUCUUGAUGAUGCUGCAGCGGCAAUUGA